UGUUGCUUCAGCAAUACAUGUGCUAAAAUUGGAACUAUACAGAGAAGAUUAGCGUGCCCCCUGCACAAGGAUGACACGCAAAUUUGUGAAGCGUUCCCAAAUUUU